rnacentral:lncRNA from 1 species
AAAUUAUCUUACACGUUGACAAUAAAGCACUUGUUCAUAUCUUGAAUUCUAAAACGUCUAAAUCAAGAAGGGUAAUGCAUAUUCUUCGUCCUUUAGUCUUACAAGCUAUGGUUUAUAAUAUUCAGUUCAAAGCAAUGCAUAUUACAUCAAACAAAAACUGUAUUGCGGAUGCAAUUUCUCGUCAACAGUGGCCACGGUUUCGUCGCAUGUCACCAGAGGCGUUACAAGAACCAGAAAAGGUCCCACAGUCUUUUCUUCAAGUGAUCUCAAAUUUGAAUCCAACAAGUUGUUAACGGCGUCAAUCUCACCAAACACAAGUGACACUUAUGAAACUGCUGUCAGGUCAUUUGAUCAAUUUAGAUCUUCACACGGACAUGCCAUUGUUUGGCCACCCUCACUUAAUGUUAUCUGUAACUUUAUAGCAUAUUUAUCUGUGCGAGGUUAUGCUCCGUCUACUGCCAAGUCUUAUAUUUUUGGUAUAGCCUUUAAAUGUAAAAUGUUAAAUAUUACUGAUAACACUCACAAUUUU